rnacentral:rRNA from 1 species
GACGAACCGUGCGAACGUUGUUCGGAAUCACUGGGCUUAAAGGGCGCGUAGGCGGGUCUUUAAGUCAGGGGUGAAAUCCUGGAGCUCAACUCCAGAACUGCCUUUGAUACUGAGGAUCUUGAGUUCGGGAGAGGUGAGUGGAAUUCCUAGUGUAGAGGUGAAAUUCGUAGAUAUUAGGAAGAACACCAGUGGCGAAGGCGGCUCACUGGACUGGUAUUGACGCUGAGGUGCGAAAGCGUGGGGAGCAAACAGG